rnacentral:snoRNA from 1 species
UGAUGACAGUCUCCGGAAUCGCUGCACCGCUUUGAUGAAAGUCCGUUUGAACCCUUUUCCCUCUGAGGACUGAGCGUUUCCGAU